rnacentral:misc_RNA from 1 species
AUAUACACUGAUCAGUAUAACAAGGAUGAUUUCCCAGUCGACUAUGUUGAUGCGAAAUUUUUUGUAAUAAAGUCUUACAGUGAGGAUGAUGUUCACAAGAGCAUUAAAUAUAAUGUUUGGUCAUCCACACCCAAUGGGAACAAGAAGCUGCAGAGUGCAUACGAGGAUACUCAAAAAAUGGCUCCUGGAAAUCCUAGAGCAUGCCCCAUCUUCCUAUUCUUUUCUGUAAAUGCAAGUGGUCAAUUCUGUGGUGUUGCUGAGAUGAUUGGCCCGGUUGACUUUGCAAAGGAUAUGGAUUUUUGGCAGCAAGAUA